GAGUGAACGCUGGCGGUAGGCCUAACCCAUGCAAGUCGAACGGCAGCACAGUAAGAGCUUGCUCUUACGGGUGGCGAGUGGCGGACGGGUGAGGAAUACAUCGGAAUCUACUUUUUCGUGGGGGAUAACGUAGGGAAACUUACGCUAAUACCGCAUACGACCUACGGGUGAAAGCAGGGGAUCUUCGGACCUUGCGCGAUUGAAUGAGCCGAUGUCGGAUUAGCUAGUUGGCGGGGUAAAGGCCCACCAAGGCGACGAUCCGUAGCUGGUCUGAGAGGAUGAUCAGCCACACUGGAACUGAGACACGGUCCAGACUCCUACGGGAGGCAGCAGUGGGGAAUAUUGGACAAUGGGCGCAAGCCUGAUCCAGCAAUACCGCGUGGGUGAAGAAGGCCUUCGGGUUGUAAAGCCCUUUUGUUGGGAAAGAAAAGCAGCAGGUUAAUACCCCGCUGUUCUGACGGUACCCAAAGAAUAAGCACCGGCUAACUUCGUG
rnacentral:rRNA from 1 species